rnacentral:rRNA from 1 species
AACAUACAUGGAUUCCCCUAGUAGCGGCGAGCGAAGCGGGAAGAGCCCAGAAUGGAAAGCUCCCGACAGGGCGCAUUGUAAUCUGGAGACGUGCCUCGUGCGGUGCGGCUGGACUUCAAGUCUGCUGGAAAGCAGCAUCGGAGAGGGUGAAAAUCCCGUGCUUGGUCUGGCUCUAGUGCCGUGUUGUGGGGCGCGCUCGACGAGUCGCGUUGUUUGGGAAUGCAGCGCAAAGUGGGGUGGUAAACGCCAUCCAAGGCUAAAUAUGGGGGAGAGACCGAUAGCGAACAAGUACCGUGAGGGAAAGAUGAAAAGAACUUUGGAAAGAGAGUUAAACAGUACGUGAAAUUGCCAAAAGGGAAGCGUUGGCAGUCAGUACCGCAAGGUGCGCCCUGUCUCCUCGGCUUCUGCCGUGGGAUUUAUGGGGCUGCACGUGGGGCCCAUGUCGGUUCGCGGCGGGGGAGAAGGCUGUGGGGAAGGUAGCUCCUGCUUCGGCGGGAGUGUUUAUAGCCCUGCAGCGGAUACUCUGCCUUGCGGACCGAGGUCUGUUCGGGAC